rnacentral:rRNA from 1 species
GACGAGGGCGCGAGCGUUGUCCGGAUUUAUUGGGCGUAAAGAGCGUGUAGGCGCCAGGUAGGUCGGUUGUGAAAACUGGAGGCUCAACCUUCAGACGUCGACCGAAACCCCCUGGCUAGAGUCCGGAAGAGGAGAAUGGAAUUCCUGGUGUAGCGGUGAAAUGCGCAGAUAUCAGGAAGAACACCCGUGGCGAAAGCGGUUCUCUGGGACGGUACUGACGCUGGAGACGCGAAAGCGUGGGGAGCGAACAGG